AUUCCUGUGGCGGAACUGGCAGACGCGCCCGCCUUGCAAGCGGGUGUCCUUGGACGUACGGGUUCGAUUCCCGUCAGGCUCAUCA
rnacentral:tRNA from 1 species